rnacentral:misc_RNA from 1 species
AAAUGACCUAAAAAUAGUUUACCUGGAGAGAUAUGAUAUUUUUAUACGUUAAUAGAUGGUGAUGAACAGAAAUUGGCUUGGAAAUUAAGGAUACCCAGAUGGAUAUUUCCAUUUGUUACUGUUUUUGAUGCGAUCCCAACACCAAACUCACCUUCUAUUUGGGCUUUGGUUGGUUGGUUCUUCUUUCAUUCUAAUCUUCUGUUUCUUUGUUUCUUUCUUUUGUAUAUAAAUUUUCUUUCUUUACUCUCCCAAUAUCUAGUAAUACAGUCUUUGGAGAGAAAGAAAGGGAUGGCAGCAUCUGCUGGAGGUGGUGGUGGAGGAGCAGCUCUGGAUAAAGAGGCUGGGAAGGCUCAUGUCGCCAUGGCGAUGGUGCAGCUAUUCAAUGGAGGAUAUCACGUUAUUACCAAAGUGGCUCUUAAUGAUGGGGUCAAUCAGCUCGUUUUCUGUGUCUUUCGUGACCUGCUAGCUCUCUUAAUCCUCGCCCCCGUGGCCUAUAUCCGUGAAAAAAGGAUUCGACCUCCUAUGACUAAACGCCUACUCUUGUCAUUCUUCUUCCUUGGGUUAACAGGGAUAUUUGGCAACCAGCUGUUAUUUCUUCUUGGCCUUAGCUACACAAAUCCAACUUACGCUGCUGCAAUACAGCCUUCAAUUCCUGUUUUUACUUUUGUCUUGGCUGUGAUGAUGGGUACAGAAAGAGUGAAUUUGUUAAGACUUGAAGGUCAAGUGAAGGUUGGGGGCACCCUUGUCUGUGUUUCUGGUGCAAUAUUGAUGGUUCUGUUCCGAGGUCCAGCUGUCAUUGGAUACAGUCAUGUAGGCUCUGCAGCUAGCGAAAUAAGUGCCAAGGGUCAACCAGAGCCUGUUGGAUGGUUUUUCUCUAGCUUACUAAACAUAGGACUGGAAGGUUGGCACCUUGGAGUUUUAUGCUUAAUUGGGAAUUGUAUGUGCAUGGCUGCUUUUCUGGCCAUUCAGGCUCCACUUUUUACAAAAUAUCCUGCCAGCAUUUCAAUCACUGCAUAUUCAUAUGCAUUUGGAGCUCUCUUGAUGGUACUGACAGCUUUCUUUAUGACCAAUGGAACAACAGAGUGGAGUCUGACGCAAUCUGAGCUUUGGGCAGUCAUUUAUGCUGUUCAUCAACUUUAACCUGGACCAAAAAGUUGGACAUCAGUAGCCAAUCCUCAUAGAUAAUGACUUUUUCCUCAUUCUUGUUGACAAGUGAUUUUCAUUCAAUUAUAUAGAUAAUAUGCCAUAAAAUAAUUCCCUUUCACCCUGUGGCAUACCAUCACAAAAUGAUAAAAGUGAUAAUAUCUCUCUAAACCUCUGCUUGAAAUUCUUUUUGUACAAAUAAGGUGUGCUCAAUGAAUUAUAUCCAGCACUAAAAGUUUAAUUGCAUUUUUAUCUGACAUCACUAUUUUCUCAGGGAAUUGUAAAUUCUGCUCUUAAUUAUGGACUCCUUACAUGGUCCAAUAAGAUCUUGGGGCCUGCUUUGGUUGCACUUUACAAUCCACUUCAACCUGCAGCUUCUGCCUUACUGUCAAGAAUUUUUCUUGGAAGCCCCAUUUAUUUGGGAAGGUUUUACUCUUUUCACUUGAAAAUUUUGCACGCAAUUUGUAUAUUUACUCAUAUGCGUACAUAUCCACACUUGAUGCUGUGAUAUGCAUAAUUGGUUUGUAAAUGGUCAUAUUUGUAUUUUCUCAUAAAACAUAAUUUUGUUCUUAAAAAAAAAUUUGAAUAAUCUUCUGGAAAUCUUCAAUAGCACCUGAAGCUGGUAUGAGAAAGCCUAACUCUCUGUUUUUCAUGUGGUAACAGCAUCUUGGGGGGAUGCCUCAUCGUUGCUGGUCUUUAUUUGGUAACUUGGGCGUCCUAUAGAGAAAGACAGGCAAUUGCUGGGAUUAUUCCUCAUGUUUUUUCCCGGGAUUCUGAACCACUCAUUCACAAAGAUCCAUCAGUUAACAAGGGUGCAUACCGGAGAGGACAACUGUCCCCAGGGUCCUCCUUGCCAAAAUCCACAGAUUAAGCAGGCAAACAAUGAAAUGUAGUGUAAAAUUUUGUUCUUUUUGAAAAUCCCCUUUUUUGUGAUAAGAAAAUAACUUCAUGUAUUAUGUACCCUCUGUUCAAAAAUACACAUCGCAGAGAAAGCAGUGUAGUACAUAAUAUUCUGUGCUUUUCCUUUGAUCUAACAUUCAUUCUAAGAAAUGAAUUGAAAAAGAAAAGAAAAAGGAACUAAGUUUUUAUGGCUUUAUAUCCUUUGGUGCUUUUAUGGCUUUAUAUCCUUUUGUGCAGUAGUGUGGGUAAGAGUUAUCUUGGCCGCUUGAUUAUGGCAGCUAAUUUCUGAAUUUGGUUCCCAGUGCCUGCUUAUACGCCGAAAGACGUGAUAAAUGGUGAACUUUUGAGAUAUCUCAUGCUGCCUAUAAUGGGGCUUUGCAAAAUUUUGAAAGACUUGAAUCAGGAUAGCUAGGAAGCAAAACCCAGAGAAGCUGCAAGCUAAUAGACACUCAGGAAGCAAAACCUGUGGAUGCUAAAGGAAAUUGCCCUUCUAAUAUAGCUAAUCACAAUCUGGUUCUUUGGUGUUCUGAGUUUGGUAGCAGCUUUUUGUUAGUGGUGACAAUGGCAAUCGUGGCAUAAUUUAUGUUCUUGCCAAGUCUUGCAUCAAUUCCUUUGUAAUCAUGAAAUUGCAAAACUUUUGUAAUCUUUUGUGUGUGUGUGUAUAUAUAUAUGUAUAUACCGCUCCUUAUAUAUCA